ensembl:snRNA U4 U4 spliceosomal RNA
AGCUUUGCGCAGUGGCAGUAUCGUAGCCAAUGAGGUUUAUCCGAGGCGCAAUUAUUGCUAAUUGAAAACUUUUCUCAAAUAUAAGUUACUUUGCAUACUGUCAUCAUGUAUUUCUGUGUUUGCUUUAUCUGUAAUUUCAGUUCAUUUAUAUAAU